UACGGGGGGAGCAAGCGUUGUUCGGAUUUACUGGGCGUAAAGGGCGCGUAGGCGGCCUCCGCAAGUCAGUUGUGAAAUCUCCGAGCUUAACUCGGAAAGGUCAACUGAUACUGCGGGGCUAGAGUGCGGAAGGGGCAACUGGAAUUCUUGGUGUAGCGGUGAAAUGCGUAGAGAUCGGGAAGAACAUCGGUGGCGAAGGCGGCCAGCUGGGCCGUUGCUGACGCUGAGGCGCGACAGCGUGGGGAGCAAACAGG
rnacentral:rRNA from 1 species